GACGAACGCUGGCGGCGUGCUUAACACAUGCAAGUCGAACGGAAAGGCCCUGCUUUUGUGGGGUGCUCGAGUGGCGAACGGGCGAGUAACACGUGAGUAACCUGCCCUUGACUUUGGGAUAACUUCAGGAAACUGGGGCUAAUACCGGAUAGGAGCUCCUGCUGCAUGGUGGGGGUUGGAAAGUUUCGGCGGUUGGGGAUGGACUCGCGGCUUAUCAGCUUGUUGGUGGGGUAGUGGCUUACCAAGGCUUUGACGGGUAGUCGGCCUGAGAGGGUGACCGGCCACAUUGGGACUGAGAUACGGCCCAGACUCCUACGGGAGGCAGCAGUGGGGAAUAUUGCACAAUGGGCGGAAGCCUGAUGCAGCAACGCCGCGUGCGGGAUGACGGCCUUCGGGUUGUAAACCGCUUUCGCCUGUGACGAAGCGUGAGUGACGGUAAUGGGUAAAGAAGCACCGGCUAACUACGUG
rnacentral:rRNA from 1 species